GGUUUAAUUCGAAGCAACGCGAAGAACCUUACCAAGUCUUGACAUCCCGAUGACAAGCUAUGUAAUGUAGCCUCUCUUCGGAGCAUCGGUGACAGGUGGUGCAUGGUUGUCGUCAGCUCGUGUCGUGAGAUGUUGGGUUAAGUCCCGCAACGAGCGCAACCCCUGUUCUUAGUAGCCAGCGGUUCGGCCGGGCACUCUAGGGAGACUGCCAGGGAUAACCGUGGAG
rnacentral:rRNA from 1 species